CUUACACAAUUUCUCAUUUAACUUUAUAAUGCAUGCAGGUGAUUAGAGUAUAAAACUCCAAUGAAUUCAAAACUCUAAAUUCAGAUCAGCUCAACCUUUGGCAAAUAGGUACUUGGAAGUUGCCGCUUCAUUCUAACAAAGGGUGAAAAGCUAAACAACCUGAAAAAAUAACAACUCUUCUUAACAAAAGAAGUGAGAUCACAGGGCAAACUGGAGAAACCAACAGGCAAAUACAGAGAAACACAAUUUACUACAGCAAGAGCCCACAAGUGGAGACCUUCCUUGGAACCAGUGCCAGUCUUGUCUUGUAGAAAGCCACAAGCAACCUGGGUUGACUGCUGAGGGACAGACAGAAAGCUUUCCAGUUCCCAAUCAGAGAAACACACUCUGCCUCUGUAGAAGGGAAAAACCAAAAAGGAGUGUGUGCCUGGAAAGGACAAAAAAGGAGACUGUACCUAUAAGGUUAUAAACUUGAAAUCCAGGUAAUAUUAAUCUUUAUUUAUUGCGAUCUCUGCAAUGACAGAUAGAGUAUGUUGGGAUUUUCAUGUAAAUGAUUUAAAUCUAUACCAGAACACAAGGUAGAUGAUACUCUAUUCUGUAAAUUGAUUAGCUAAGAAUCAGAAAGGAUAAGCAGCUUUAUUGUGUUCCAAAAUUAAAAAGCUACAGACCGGUAACAUAAUAUUUGUUGCGUAUGGUUUCAAUGUUCUUUCAAUUUUACUUCACUCUUUC
rnacentral:lncRNA from 13 species